GUUCCAUCAUCUGAGAUAAACAUGUGCUGCUCAUAACCUCAAUUUUUAUGGCUGUAAAAACAAAAAUUAAGAUGUCACUUUGUUGACUAAGAAGACAUCACAAUGCAACACCAUUUGUACCUCCUGAUGAGAGUGAAGGUAGUUUGGUGGAUAACUCGGAUGGCAACCCAGAUUACACCCUUGACCACGACAGAAGGAACAAAAUAUCCUUAUUUGGUGAUAACUGAAUUCUGCUUUUUAUUUCUACAAUGUAAUUUACCUAAAUUAAACUAUGAUAGUUGGACAUUUACAGUAAAGUUAUAAUAACUUGUUACCUAAUAUCAUCAAAGAUGAAAUGACUGGGGCUAUAUCUUAUAUAACAGUCAUUAUAAAUGUGUGAUGUUUGAAUAAAACAAGGUAGCAGUGA